GUUUUACUGUCCAGCUUAUUGUCAACAAAGUUUUUAAAGAAAAAAAAGGCAAGACGCAAAUGAGCCCAAAUAAAGGUUAUCAGUUGGUCUCUUAUACUUGGCGGUCUGCUUUCAAGUGCUGAAAUCACUUUACUGCUCCAGUGUAGAAUCUCGCAGCCAAGCUUCAACAUGCUCUUCAAACAUUUCUUCUACAUUUUUCUCCUGGUCAUUUCUUUCAUCCUGUCUCCAACGGAUGCGGGAUUCACCGAAGUAUUAUCUCCAAAAAGUAGCACUGGAAGGAUCACAAGAGGUCGUGGCAAGGGUAUCAAGACCGGUCAUAACCAGGUGGACCCCGUGAAUUCAACUGAAACAGUUGACACCGCAGCCCUCUGAUAUCUUGUAAUCGUUAUGUGAUUAACACACAGGCUCAAUGAAAUAUAGAACCUGAAUAAAAUUU